rnacentral:lncRNA from 1 species
GCAUGGAUUAACGGAUUUCUCAAUACUAUGCUAUGAAAAGUUGGAUGCAACUUUAUUAAUUAAUAUAAAAUAUAAUAAUUUUUAUUUGUAUGCUUAAAUUGUUAGUGAAUGUUUGUGGUUACUAUUUGAGUUCUUGCAGUCUUACUCGAUUUUUUGGUCUAUUAUAAUUAUCCUGUUAAUUGUAGUUAACUAAGAAUCUGGGAAUCCCCUUUUUUCUUUCUUGAUUUCAGUUGUCCAUUUGAAAAAAUGGAAGCAAUUAGGGAAUAUCAUAUAAUUUACAAAACAAAUUUUAUUUUGUUUCACGUGAGCUAUUGCAUUAUUGAUUUCAUGUUUCUUUUUGUUUGAAAUGUAGUUUUCCAAUCAAAAAGUGGAUUAAGAGAUGGUGCAACAAGAAGGGUGGUUUAACCUGUGAAAUAUGCGAUCAGCUUGGGAUUUUACUCUCGUUUUCUAGGCAAAAUUUAUGGCCUUGUAACUGAGGAAAAUGAAACUCAUAUCUUCUUAAACAAGUUUUCUCGCCCUAUUAUGCGGUUCCAACUCCAAGAAGUAAUGCUGAUGUUUUGACUAUUGAUAUCAGGUAUAUUCUGGAGCACAUCUUAUGAAAUUUUUUUGCUCUUGAAUGUUUAGUAUUCAGCAUUGCAUGUUCAAGAGGGUGAGAGACACGAAUCAGAAUGCUUUAAGGAGAUUAUGGUUUCUAAUGAGAUCUGUAGAUUAGCUAGGUUGAUGGUAUUCCACUUGUCAUUUUGCCUGAUUUUGGGUUGUUCUGGCUAGGAAUGCUAAAGGAACUAUGGACGGAUGAUAAUGCAGCUCAAGCACUUGAAACACUGGAGUUCGGGCAAUAGGCUGGUUGAUUUGGAUAAAAAGAUGGCUUUCGAAAUUUUAUUUUCUUCUUUUUCAUUUGUUAUAUUGAUUUUAUUUAAAUUAAAUGUUAAGGAUUAAGUAUACACACAUUUUUACCCUUCUUAAUCAUGUCAUCUUCGAACGAUAGGGACUCUUGUCGUCAAUUACACUACCUUUAUCUGCAACACUGUCAAAUAUCCAUUCAAAAUGCUUAUACGUGUAUUAUGUCAUAGGCGAAAGGUACGAUGCUGUAAUAUAUUGAAAUGCUUGCAUGGGUACUAUGUUAAAUACAUAGUGCUUGCUUAAUCUAUAGUACUAGAAGUACAUUUGAUAAAUUUUAACUUUGUUUUCGAUCUUCAUAAAGUUCAGCCAUCUAUCCACCUUAUUAAACAUGCUUUAAUUAUAUUGAAAAUGUGUUGUUCUUGGAUUUUAUGUCAGUCCAUCAAGUUUUAUUGUAGUCAUGUGACUAUUUCUUAUUUAUUUUAUGUUGUAGAGAAAUCUUUUCUUGUGAAUUUUCCAAAUUUCAAUUGUUGUGUUGUCAACUGUACAUUCUUUGUCAAAGGGUAAGAAAUCCCUACAGAUUUAUGUGUCUCUGGAUUUAGUGUCAUUCUCUGAGGUUUUUUUCGGUUUUGUGAUAUUCUUUGGUUUGUCCUUUUCACAUAAAGCAUUGAAAAUUGUAAGAGGCUUAUGUAUUUUUAGGGGUAAGUGUAUAUGAAAUGGAGAUUUUAGAAUAUCAACUAUAAAUAUGUGAUUAGAAACAUACUGAAUAUCAGCUCAAUAAAUCCUUGUUUUCUUGCAUGUAGAGUGACUGAUGGAAGUCUUUCCAUUUUCAGUGUUGAUGUAUACACAACCCUUGCUGGAGCCAUUGAGAUGCUAUAAGGUUCUUUUCAUCUUGGAGCAAAUGAAGUAAUCAGCAUUUUAGUGCUUAUGAUGUUGUUCUUGCGAAUUUUUUUUAUGGAGUUUCAUUUUAGCAUGUAAGAACGCCACUACAAUAGCACAACAGGGUCUCUAGUAAUUUUUAUUUUUUUUUUAGAUUUUUAUGUACUUCAGAAUUUUGGAUCUAGAUUUUGUAUAGAUAUUUUUACACUUUGGAGUCAAUUCAUAAUGAUUAUUGGAG